rnacentral:rRNA from 1 species
UGGGGGAUAUUGCACAAUGGGCGAAAGCCUGAUGCAGCGACGCCGCGUGGGGGAUGAAGGCUUUCGGGUUGUAAACCUCUUUCGCUAUCGAACAAGGCCCGCUUAGGGUGGGUUGAGGGUAGGUGGAGAAGAAGCGCCGGCUAACUACGUGCCAGCAGCCGCGGUAAUACGUAGGGCGCGAGCGUUGUCCGGAAUUAUUGGGCGUAAAGGGCUUGUAGGCGGCUUGUUGCGCCUGCUGUGAAAACGCGGGGCUUAACUUCGCGCGUGCAGUGGGUACGGGCAGGGUUGAGUGUGGUAGGGGUGACUGGAAUUCCAGGUGUAGCGGUGGAAUGCGCAGAUAUCUGGAGGAGCACCGAUGGCGAAGGCAGGUCACUGGGCCAUUACUGACGCUGAGGAGCGAAAGCAUGGGUAGCGAACAGG